AGCAGCCGCGGUAAUUCCAGCUCCAAUAGCGUAUAUUAAAGUGGCUGCAGUUAAAAAGCUCGUAGUUGAAUUUCGGGACUAAUAUGUCGGUCGUGCCUCGGUACGUACUGGUAUUUUUGGUUUCUCCCUUCUGACGAACCUUGAUGUCAUUAAUUUGGUGUCUUGGGAAAUCAGGACUGUUACUUUGAAAAAAUUAGAGUGUUUAAAGCAGGCUCACGCUUGAAUACAUUAGCAUGGAAUAAUGAAAUAGGACGUUUGAUUCUAUUUUGUUGGUUUCUAGGAUCGACGUAAUGAUUAAUAGGGAUAGUUGGGGGCAUUAGUAUUCAAUUGUCAGAGGUGAAAUUCUUGGAUUUAUUGAAGACUAACUACUGCGAAAGCAUUUGCCAAGGAUGUUUUCAUUAAUCAAGAACGAAAGUUAGGGGAUCGAAGACGAUCAGAUACCGUCGUAGUCUUAACCAUAAACUAUGCCGACUAGGGAUCGGAUGAUGUUAAUUUUUUAAUGACUCA
rnacentral:rRNA from 1 species